GACGAACGCUGGCGGCGCGCUUAACACAUGCAAGUCGAACGGAAAGGCCCUGCUUUUGUGGGGUGCUCGAGUGGCGAACGGGUGAGCAACACGUGAGUAACCUGCCCUUGACUUUGGGAUAACUUCAGGAAACUGGGGCUAAUACCGGAUAGGAGCUCCUGCUGCAUGGUGGGGGUUGGAAAGUUUCGGCGGUUGGGGAUGGACUCGCGGCUUAUCAGCUUGUUGGUGGGGUAGUGGCUUACCAAGGCUUUGACGGGUAGCCGGCCUGAGAGGGUGACCGGCCACAUUGGGACUGAGAUACGGCCCAGACUCCUACGGGAGGCAGCAGUGGGGAAUAUUGCACAAUGGGCGGAAGCCUGAUGCAGCAACGCCGCGUGCGGGAUGACGGCCUUCGGGUUGUAAACCGCUUUCGCCUGUGACGAAGCGUGAGUGACGGUAAUGGGUAAAGAAGCACCGGCUAACUACGUG
rnacentral:rRNA from 1 species